rnacentral:rRNA from 1 species
UGGGGAAUAUUGCACAAUGGGGGAAACCCUGAUGCAGCAACGCCGCGUGAAGGAAGACGGUUUUCGGAUUGUAAACUUCUGUUCUUAGUGAAGAAUAGUGACGGUAGCUAAGGAGCAAGCCACGGCUAACUACGUGCCAGCAGCCGCGGUAAUACGUAGGUGGCAAGCGUUGUCCGGAAUUACUGGGUGUAAAGGGAGCGCAGGCGGGAGACCAAGUCAGCUGUGAAAACUACGGGCUUAACCUGUAGACUGCAGUUGAAACUGGUUUUCUUGAGUGAAGUAGAGGUUGGCGGAAUUCCGAGUGUAGCGGUGAAAUGCGUAGAUAUUCGGAGGAACACCGGUGGCGAAGGCGGCCAACUGGGCUUUAACUGACGCUGAGGCUCGAAAGUGUGGGGAGCAAACAGGAUUAGAUACCC